rnacentral:misc_RNA from 1 species
AAGUCGUAACAAGGUUUCCGUAGGUGAACCUGCGGAAGGAUCAUUACCGUGAUAAAAAGAAAAGGUUUUGGAAGGCACAGAGCCGUCGUGUUCUGUAGCUCAGGAGUAUGGGCAUGAAGUUAUGCGUGCCUAUGCGACCUCAAGUCCUGGCCAGGCCAGUGCGUCUGGUUUUUAAAACGGGCACCCUAUUCAGUGGCAUUGUUCACUGAAUAGGUUUAAUUUUUCUUUGUGUGAUCUCCAGGUAACACUGGAUUGAGCUGCAAAGAAAUGCAAAAACUUUUGUCCAAUGUUAAACCGUAUUGAAUAAAAAAUAAUAAUAAAAAAGAAUACCUCGAGUGGUGGAUCACUCGGCUCGUGG